ensembl:rRNA 5S_rRNA 5S ribosomal RNA
GCUUACGGCCAUACCACCCUGAGAACGACCGAUCUCGUCUGAUCUCGGAAGCUAAGCAGGGUCGGGCCUGGUUAGUACUUGGAUGGGAGACCGCCUGGGAAUACCAGGUGCUGUAAGCU